UACGAAGGGGGCGAGCGGUGUUCGGAUUUACUGGGCGUAAAGGGCGCGCAGGCGGCUCAUUUUGUCAGGCGUGAAAGCCCCGGGCUUAACCUGGGAACUGCGUUUGAUACGGAUGGGCUAGAGUUCGGGAGAGGAGAGUGGAAUUCCCAGUGUAGAGGUGAAAUUCGUAGAUAUUGGGAAGAACACCGGUGGCGAAGGCGGCUCUCUGGACCGAGACUGACGCUGAGGCGCGAAAGCGUGGGGAGCAAACAGG
rnacentral:rRNA from 1 species